GAGUGCGUCAUACUCGGUACGGUAAUUCAGGUAUGUGGUCAAUCACCUGUCAAUUGAUUUGUUUCUUUUCUUCUCAAAUUUUUAGGGGAGUGCCUUUGGAAAAAGAGGGCCAGAUCUCUUCUGCGAUUGUGUCGUCUGUUCAGAGUAAAAUCACUCAGGAUCUUAUGGCCAAGGUGAGGGCGAUGCUUGCAGCUUCUAAAAAUAUUUCAACCAGUGCCUCCUGAGACGGAAGGAUGGAAGCUCCAGGAGGAACAGAAAGUCCUUGUUAGUGGCGGGGAGACGAGUCUUCCUGCGAUGCCGUUGAGUUGCAAAACUUCCUCCCACGGGGAAGGGAGCCUUGUAAAUUAUGUUCUGAUUGGUUUCUCAGUAAGAAUUUUACGACGAGAGGUGCCUGUAUAUUUGUAAAUAGGACAUUCCGGCGAGUGUUACACAAAUAAAAAUGCAGAGAAAUCCUUUUUAUUAGCUAAAGA